CCCAGACUCCUACGGGAGGCAGCAGUGAGGAAUAUUGGUCAAUGGUCGGGAGACUGAACCAGCCAAGCCGCGUGAGGGAGGAAGGUACAGAGUGUCGUAAACCUCUUUUGUCAGGGAACAAAGGCGGGGACGCGUCCCCGGAUGAGUGUACCUGAAGAAAAAGCAUCGGCUAACUCCGUGCCAGCAGCCGCGGUAAUACGGAGGAUGCGAGCGUUAUCCGGAUUUAUUGGGUUUAAAGGGUGCGCAGGCGGUCUGUUAAGUCAGCGGUCAAAGCCCGGGGCGCAACCCCGGCCUGCCGUCGGAACUGGGUGCCUUGAGUGGGCGAGAAGUACGCGGAAUGCGUGGUGUAGCGGUGAAAUGCAUAGAUAUCACGCAGAACUCCGAUUGCGAAGGCAGCGUACCGGCGCCCAACUGACGCUGAAGCACGAAGGCGUGGGUAUCGAACAGGAUUAGAUACCCCUGUA
rnacentral:rRNA from 1 species